UGGCCAUUUGACAGAUCAAUUAGCAACUGCCUCAUACAUGAGCAAUAAAACCUUUCACAGGAAAAGUUUCCCCCGGGCUGAAAAGUGCUUUUCUGUCCUUCUGAAGUGGGAGGAAAGGCCAGGUGGCUUCUCAAACCAGAUGCCGAUGGCUCCGUGUUGCCUUUGCUGCUGGACUCCAAAUCCCACCUGACACAACACUGGUGACAGAGGGACACAUGGCAUUGUGCAGCACCACACAUUGUCUUCUCAAGCUUCCCAAAGGGCUCAGAGAGGUUUUAAGAGAUAAAGCCCAGCAGGUGGGAAGGAAGAGACGGAGCAGGGCAGUUUUUCAUUCUUCCGCUUGACUUUGGGACAAAUGUCACACAGGAGACUUGAGGCCAUGCACUGACCCACUUGUUUGCUGUCAACAGCCAUUCCCACAUGCAGCGUCUUGGGAUCAAACUCUGCAGCUUUUCCCUGUGAUGGUCCAGACCACAGAAGGUUCUUGACUUGGGCAGAUGCAGAACUGCACGCAUGGAACAAUAACCCACCCCCAGUCUGGCAGUGCAUCAACAGAUAUCAGACUACAAAGGGACGGUAUUUCCUUUGGUCUUUUUCUGUGUGAGCCACAUGGCUUCCCAGGCCCCUCAGCAGGAACCACCCAGAUAUCAGUGGAGUUUCUGUGAUUCUUCUUCAUUCCCAUUUGUGUUCUCUUCUGCUGCCCUUAAUGCCAGCACAGGACUAAGACCAGUGGCACCUGGGAAGAGGAUCACACUGCUGGCAAGCUCAGAGCUCACAGGGGUGAGCUCCCAUCUCUGCUCUGUGCUCCAAGACCGGGGGAUGGAUGGAACCAACUCUGCCUCGCUGCUGAACUGGGGAAAGGGGAGGCAGCAGCAGGAAUUUUGGGGAAAAAAGAAAAAAAAAAACAACACACAGGGUGAGAUGCUGAUGAAAACACCUAGGAGUGGACAAGGCAGCUGCAGCCACAAGACCUCUGAUAAAACUUUGGGGCUUGCUCUGCUAGACAAAGGACAGCAGCUUUGCAGUUCAAGAAGGAACUCUUUUUAUCCUGCUUUUUGCUCCUCCAUGCCUUUACUUUUUCCCCCAGCUAAUGCUCAGGGAAGGUGAGCCAGUCUGGAGCCACUGUGAAGGGGUUUUGUUUCCUUGCUUGCUGGAGCUGAGUGAAGGCUGUUUCAUCUCAACAGGCUGCUCCCAACACCCCUUAAUUUGAGAACUCCUGCAUGCAGGAAGCAAUGGAGUUGAGUGACCUUGCUGAAUCCCGGCCGCUGCAGCUGCCGGAGAACAGGGGAGGAAAAGAAAAGAGGGGAGGAGGAAGAGGCACUUUGCUGUCUCCCAUUAAAGCCCCAAGAGGCUGAAGAUGAGAGAGCGGAAGUUUCAAAUUGCCAGAACGUAAUUCUGAAAGUCAUUUUCCAAGCGCAGAGCUCUCUGCAAUGUCACCUCUCAUCUUCCAAGGUGGGGAUUGAAGGGACAAUAAAGCACAGAAUAUUCUGCAAAGGCAGAGCUGCUAAUUCAAAGAGGGAAGAGGUGCCAGUCCCCAAAGGGGCUGUGUCACACCCCUUUCUGCUGGAGGGCUGUGCUGAUGUCGCUGUACAAGGGGCCCAGCUCCAGCUCCUUUCCUGAACCAUAUCCAGCCUGGAUGCAGGAUCCAACUGCCUUAUCCAGGCCCUUCUAAAAGUAAGGAUCUCAAAAGAACUCCCCCUAUUCAACAGUUGUAUUUUUAAUUUGACUUAAACUCCUGACUUUCAAUCCAAUGGCAAUGGUAAUGAUUACUGUGCUGGUUAUUUUCUCAGACCUCCCUGAGACCAGCAGAAGACCAUGAUGGAUGUGUAAAAGAAAAGGUGCACUUUGCUAUUCACACUGCCCUGCCCCAACCCAGCAAAACUAUCCAUCCCUGCUCCUUCUUCCAGCCCUCUGCCUGCCAAGAAAUCUGAAUUAAGGAGUUAAAUGUAUUCAACAAAGAGUUUGGUCCAGUGUCUUACCUCAAAGAGUGAGUUGUCUUCCUUUUCUGCACACUUUGUCAACCUUUAUUCUAACUGCA